GACGAACGCUGGCGGCAUGCCUAACACAUGCAAGUCGAACGAGACCUUCGGGUGUAGUGGCGCACGGGUGAGGAGCGCGUGAGAAGCUGCCAAUAGGUGCGGAAUAACCCCCCGACAGGGGUGCUAAUACCGGAUAAUGUCUUCAGUCCAAAGAUUUAUCGCUCUUGGGUGGGUCCGCGUUGGAUUAGCUAGUUGGUAGGGUAAUAGUCUCCCAAGGCGACGCUCGCUAGCUGGUCUGUGAGGAUGGACAGCGACACUGGGACUGAGACACGGCGCAGACUGCUACGGGAGGCAGCAGUGGGGAAUAUUAGACAGCGGGGGCAAGCCUGAUCCAGCAAUGCCGGGGGAGUGAUGAAGGCCUGAGGGUGGUAAAGCCCUGUUACCUGUGAUGAUAAUGACGGUACCGGGAGAAGAAGCUCCGGCUAACUACGUG
rnacentral:rRNA from 1 species